CCUACGGGUGGCAGCAGUGAGGAAUAUUGGUCAAUGGACGAGAGUCUGAACCAGCCAAGUAGCGUGAAGGAUGACUGCCCUCUGGGUUGUAAACUUCUUUUAUAUGGGAAUAAAAUGUUCCACGUGUGGGAUUUUGUAUGUACCAUAUGAAUAAGGAUCGGCUAAAUCCGUGCCAGCAGCCGCGGUAAUACGGAGGGUCCGAGCGUUAUCCGGAUUUAUUGGGUUUCAAGGGAGCGUAGGUGGAUUGUUAAGUCCAUAGUGAAAGUUUGAGGCUCAACCGUAAAAUUGCAGUUGAAACUGGCAGUCUUGAGUACAGUAGAGGUGGGCGGAAUUCGUGGUGUAGCGGUGAAAUGCUUAGAUAUCACGAAGAACUCCGAUUGCGAAGGCAGUUCACUGGACUGCAACUGACACUGAGGCUCGAAAGUGUGGGUAUCAAACAGGAUUAGAUACCCCAGUAGUC
rnacentral:rRNA from 1 species